rnacentral:lncRNA from 1 species
UAGGUUUAUAAAUAAAGUACUUGCUUGGCCAAUGAGACAGCAGGUUAGGCUAGACUAGGAGUCAAAGAGGAUUCUGGGAAAUGUAGUAGAGAAGUGAUGUUCCAGACAGGAAGUGACAUAGCAAGGAGACUCAUAUUUAAGAAGAGGAAAAAGGAAAUGUCGCUCUCUUUCCCCUCGGCUCUUGCUCCAGCGGCACGAUGUGAUCCACCAGCUAGGAGGGACGCCAAUAAGGCAUCCGAUAAGAUAAGUCUUAUAAAAUAUAUAGACGUAUGAUAAUUGAUACUGAGCUAACAGAUGAGAAUCCUAGUCAUUGGCCAAGCAGCAUUGUAACUAAUACAAGUCUCUCUGUGUAUUCAUUUGGGCCUAACUUGGGCAGGUGGCUGGUGUAAAGCUUACACGUGGCAGUGGGGCUCAGCGGCUUUUGGCAGAAAGAUUUAUUGUAACAUUUAUCGUAACAGUUGGGUCCUAUGGUAACUCUGUUCAUGCUUUCGAUAGAUAUUCACACUGGUUUCUAGAGUGGCUGAACUGAUGUAUCACUUCUAGCAUACAUAAGGGUUCUUCCUUCUCCACCCUCACAAGCACUGGCUGUUUGUAUUUUUGAUAAUGGCCAAGCUUUAUACAUUUAUAAAGCUUCCACACAGCAAAAGAGCAACCAGCCUAGCAAAGAGGCAGCCUAAAGAGCAGGGAAAAUACUUGUCAACUCUGACAGGGGAUUAAUAACCAGAACCUAGAAAGAACUCUAAAAUAUGAGUGAAAAUAGAUUAAUAUGUCUCUACCUGUGUAAGAAUAAAUUCAAAAUGGGCCAAAGACCUUAAAGAAAAACCACUUUGAAUUUAUUUUUAUGCAAGUUGAGACAUAUCAAUCUAUUUUCAUUCUUUUAUAGGUGGAUAUCAGUUUUCAAAAAAAGUAUCUUCCCCCCCAGGAUGUUUUGAUAGUUUUAUCAAGAAUUGGUUUGAUGUGAGAUGUGAGUCUAUUUAUGUGCCAUUUAUCCUAUCAGUCUAUGUAUCUAUUUUGGCACCAACACCAUGCUUUUCGUUAUGUGGCUCUUUAGUGUAAUUUGAGAUCAGGUGUCCUGAGGUGUACAGCACUGGACUUUCUGAGUUGCAUUGCUUUACUUCUUCAGGGCCUUCUGUCCCUCCUCAUGAAUCUUAAGAUCGAUAAAAUACUCUAAGAAGCAAGUCGUUAACAUUUUGAUGGGGAUUGGAUUGAAACUGUAGAUUGUUUUUAGUAAUAUAGAUAUUUUUGCAGUAUUAAUUCUGCCAGUGAGCCUGGGAGGUCUUUCCACCUUUUAGUGUCUUCCUCAAUUUCUCUCCAGUCACUGAAAAUCUUUAUCUUAGAUUGCAAGAACUGUCAUACUUUCCAAUUUUAUUUUUCUUCACUUCUUUCAUCAAAACCAACCAGUGCCUACAUAUACCAAUCUCAACAAAGAAACGUCUGUUGACUAAACAAACCAUCUUGGGAAGAAGAUGAAUUUGAAGCAAAGGAUGUAACUUUGGGAACUUAAUUGGAAAACAUACCAACCUAACAUUUGUAUUUUAGCGAAGAAAGCUUACAACUGAGAGAGUCAUGGUCAUUUAAGAAAUUCGGGGACUGAUAGAUUGUCAAUGGAAAAUUCUGAUUCACCUUCCAGGUUACCCCUGGUCAAGACAGAGGUGGUGCUUUACAGCUGCAAGUAGAAACACACACAUCAAUGGAAAAAUAUCUCUCUAUUACUGCUGCAAAUGGAAUGGAGCUGGUCUGUACCUGUAGUGACUGGGAAUGGAGCCAACCCAUACCUAUGGUGUGUCAGCUGGCUGAAAGCCAAAUUUUCUGUGGCUUUGACGGUUUUGAUUGUGUGUAACCAUAUUACAUAAAUACUCAUGAAAAACUACAGAGAUCUGUCUCCAUAUCCCCUAAAUGGUAGAUUUUAAAGAUAAAAGGCCCUUCUCUACAUUUGCACUGUGAAAAUGUAUGAAGACACAUGUAUGCAUUCCUAUGUUACACAAACUUAUAAAAUAUGUGAAUACACAAGUAUAUAUUUCAUGUGUCAUACAAUCUUAUCGGAAGCAUUGGAACGCAUGUGUCAUUUACUUUUAACCCUCCUCUGCACUGUCUUCUUCUAUCACCACAAGUAUACAAAACUCCUUUUAGGAGAAAUAAAAGCCACUGGUUUGCUAGCCCUUCUGUAGCGCUUAUAAGAUGUCAGCACCCUAUAGUGAAUUGGCGUUAUUUGCUCUCCUACUUACCACUGCAGAAAUAUUAAUAAAAUGGGUGCCCGCAAACAAAUACUCUUAACUCAUUGCCACCCGGUAGCCUUGUAAAAAUGGAAAACGUGUCAGUUUGAAGACCUGAACAUAAAAGGAAGAUGUGGUGUUGGAGACCCGUCUUGUGGGACCCUAACUCUGCCAUACUCACUCCCCCGGCCUCCUUCUGCACCAUUAUCUGAAUAAAUGAGCUUCACGGAGAGCGAUGUGACAGCAGAGAGUACACCUGCUGUGUGGUGUGACUGGUGCAGCUUAGCAAGUGGCUGCCAGGGAAGCAGUUUCCAAAAGACAGGGAGGAGAGCUGUCAAGGUUCGCUCCCUGUGAAAUUCGCCUGUCAGAGAAGAUGAUGCAUUUGGAUAUCCCACGCGCUUACUUUCCUUUUCCAGCAGUUACCCUAUCAUUUCCAAGGCUUCCACAAUUUUGCUGCGACUUAUCCUUUUAAGGGGCUUUUCCUCUCUCUCGUCUCUCCAUUGACUGUGAGUCCCGAGAGAUGAGUGACUAGAGUCAGGACAGACAGGACAACCAGCCUCCCCGGCACUCCCUAUCACCCCACUUGCCGUCACCCCACCUGUCGGUCUUUCACUUCAUCUGGAACAGGAGUGAGGUUUGACUUUGUUCAUCAGGGUCUCAACAGUGGACUUUUGUCCGGGAGCGCUCAGGAGAAGGAUGUGAAAUCUAGAGGGCAGGACAGUCGCGAACAGCAAUGGUGACAGUGAGCUCUCCUGUGGAAACUGCCUGGUUCCCUGAAACCUCACAACUUUUCUGUUUUGAACAAUAGGUGAGCCGUUGAGGCUAUAAUAGUAUUCAUCCCGAAGUGUUGGUAAAUGCUACUGUCAUUCUGGUUUAUGCUGUGGAGUCCUUGUUUACAAGCCUUGUCACAAUCUUGAGGAAGUAGAUGUCAUUAUCCUCACUUUAUAGAUGAUGUCCCUAAAAUACAGAGAAGUCAAUGGGUUGAAAGGUCUGUGUUAGAAUGAAACUUGGAUGUCUCACUCAGGGUGAUAGAGUUUUCAAUGUAUGUUUCCCAAGAAGGGCAAUUUUCAUCUCUUAGGCAUCUGGUCUGGCUCCCUCUGCACCAGUGGAGGCAGAGGGCAGGGUGGCUAUGUGGAGGAAGAAUUUCUAUGAGCAGAGGCAAGGACGCCUUUAGACCAGGGUCUCUGAUUUCAGUAGAGCUGUUCCUUUAGGGUUAUUUCACAGCUAGAAAAUAGCAGUGAGAGAAACAGAGGGCUAGAUUUAAGUAAGAGCUCUUCUCCAGUCCCGAACUGUAAGCUAUUAAAAAAAAAGUUAUACUUUCUCCUUAAUGAACUGUGUUAUGUAGGUACCAAGAAAGAGCGGCAUUCCAAUUAAAAAAGUAUUGAUUGCUCAUCUGUUAGUGUCAUCUGCUUAUAAUUAAUGGCCACCCAACUCCCGGUGGUGAUUUUCAUUGUGAGUCAUCUCAGGUCUUGCUCUUGGUUUAUGGAAUAUUCCACUGUGGUUGUGAGCUCUUUCACAUGGGUGUUUCUCUUGCUAUUAAAAUACACGUUUUCAUGCUAAUCUACAUAGCCCCACAGUCACUUUGAAUGGAAGUCAAUGGAAUUUAACACAUUCCAAUGCCUUCUCUUGCAUACUUGCAAGACCAUUUAUGUCUUCUGGGCUCUUCUGUGUAUAAACAACUAAACACUCCCAUCUAAAAAGAAAAGAAAGAAACACAAAUUCUUCAAAAGUAACAAAGCUCCAAACCAAUCAACCACUGGAAAGAAAGGCAGACAAAUAAAUAAGGACGGAGUUUGAGGCGGAUAGAUCCCACACUUAGAAUAGCAGGCUCUGGGUUCAACCUCCAGAACCAAGUUCCCAAACAAUACCUCCCCUGAUUAAAAUACAAAAGAAAGAAAGAAAAAGAAUACCCCUGCCAUCACAAUGCAAUACAACCACCCACAAAAAUGAAACCUUAAUGCCACAGAGCAGUUAGUUGUUUCUCGGCCCAAAGGCUGUUAGAAUUUGUGUGUGAGCCAAGCUCAGGGUCUAAGGAGGCUCUGUUUGGGGCCUGCAGAACACUCCAGGCCAUUGUGCUAAUUAAGUCUGAAAGGCAGACAUAUUGGGAAGCAAUCGGGGGUUGGGUUGAAGUCUGGCAGUGGAAAAAGGGGAACUGGGUAAGCUCAGAGAACACACACUUGAGGAGACAGAUGUGAUCACUGUGUGCGGCUGGGGUGGAAUUUAUCUUCCAGUUCAGUAGCUGGCCUGGCACUGUGGCCAAUCAGACAGCCUGGUGAGAAAUCAUUGCCUAGGUGUCUCUGCUAGAUUUCCUUACGGGUAAGCUACUGACAGCUUCGUUUGCUGGCAAUUUUCUUUUGCAGAGAAUUGUUCUCUCAUUUAACCAGUGUCUGUCUCCUACAAGAGAGGCAGGUUUACCACUCUAUGAGGGUGGGGGAGGGCAGAAUUUCAGGAACUAAAUGUAUCAAACGGGAACAACUGUAAGGAACCAGGACUCUCAGGCUGCCAUCCCAGCUCCAACACAAAUUGGUUGCAAAUCAUCUCAUUCCUGUUCCCCCCCUCUGAAAAAACAAAAACAAAACAAGCCCCCCCCCCCAAACCCAUUGUGUCAAGUAACUACAUUCCUUCCAUGUCUAAGAUGUAUUCUACUGUGGGCUCUAGAUAAUUUUCUCUUUCCGGUUUUUCUCAUUCACUAAAAGCUGUUGAAAGAAGUUUGUAAGGUGGGCAACCUAGAGAUUUAAGUUGGCAGGUCAUAAAUUUAAUUAGGUACCAAGAAUUCAAGUACAAAGGAUGCUUAUUACUCUCUUGCACAGGCCUUUACACGUAUGUAUACCAAAACCUUUAUCAAGCUCACACAGCUGUGGUACGGGCAUUUAGCUCAUUCUGCUUCUGUGUGUGUUACCACACUACCUGAUUAGCACAGCCAGUUGUUACUGUCAAACAAUCCAGCCAAACCAGACCACUGCUUCUCCUUCUCCCCCUCCUCUUUAUUCCCUCCUCCACUUCCUCCUCUUCUUGGUCAGGAAAAUGUCUAACUUUAUUUAUUGUACAACUCGAAUAAAGCCACUAACACACACUCUUGCUGAUAACCACCGGACACUUGGCAAGUUUCUUAGCCAACCACCCAAAGCAGGGAACCUCGGCAUUGUUUUUUUGUCUGUGUUUCUUAACUUGCCUUGAAAGAUCUGUACCCCGUGAGCAAAGUAUUCUCCAUUAUUGCUUUAGCAGCUCAGAGGUUUGCAAAUUAGGAGCAAUGCACCAUAGUGAGCCUCAACAAGACCCAGAGGCCAGUUCGCUUGAGAUUUGGAAGAGGCGUGGCUUUGCUUCUCAGAACUGUCUCCUAUUGGCUGUUUCCUAACUCAGUCAUUGAGAGCCCUCCCUCUGGUAGCUUGUUACCGGUGGGUGGAGCUACUUUAUUUCAAGUGGGCUAUAGCUUUGCUUCACCUUUUAGGAGACACCUUGGUAGCAUGUAAACACUGUGUCUAUAGGCUCAGAGAAUACGUGCCAACUUUAGUGUGAGCCUUGAGGGAUUACCCUAUCCUAAUAAACCGUCCCUAGUGCAACUGUGCAUUCGUACCUUUCCGUUCGCAAUCGGGGCAUCACUCCCUCAAGGUUUCUAUUUGUGGGAAUGCUCACCAAGUCCUACCACUGUGUGUCAGUCAGAUCCUCAGUGCCACAGAAAUUUUUUGCUUUUUCUUUGAUUGCCUCUCAAUCUCAUAGUCAUUAAGUCUUUACAAGAAACAAGGGUAGUCAACCACCCAGUUCGACUGAUUCUUUUCCUCUCAUUUCUCCCCAAAGCUAGGUGCAUGGCAGCAGCUAGUGAUGCCGGAUCCAUGGGCAUGCUGUCCUGGUGUACCGCAGAGGCAUCUUGUGAUGCUAUCUCCAGGUUCCAUCGGUACUCCAGUUGCCAUUGGUGGCAGGAUCUAAUUGUUGGCCAGGUGUUAGGAGCUCAAGCUCAAACAUCUCACAGAGGCAUCUUCUGAUGCUAUCUCCAGGUUCCAUUGGUACUCCAGUUGCCACGGGUGGUGGGAUCUAAUUGUUAGCCAGGUGAUAGGAGCUCAAGCUCGAACAACUCGGGUUAGGGACUUUGUAGCG